rnacentral:snoRNA from 1 species
UUGGAUAAUGAAAAAAAUAUUAUUCUUCGUUUCCACUACAGAUGCAAGAAAAACAUGUCCUUGUGCUUUCCAUCUGUCUAAUUGUGGCAGCUGAGAUUGAAUAGAGGAAUACAGGG